CCUACGGGCGACAGCAGUGGGGAAUAUUGGGCAAUGGAGGCAACUCUGACCCAGCAACGCCGCGUGAAUGAUGAAGGUCUUCGGAGUGUAAAGUUCUUUUCUAAGGGAAGAAGAAAGUGACGGUACCUUAGGAAUAAGCCUCGGCUAACUACGUGCCAGCAGCCGCGGUAAUACGUAGGAGGCAAGCGUUAUCCGGAAUGACUGGGCGUAAAGGGUGCGUAGGUGGUUUGACAAGUUAGUAGCGCAACUCCGGGGCUCAACUUCGGAACUACUACUAAAACUGUUGGACUUGAGUGCAGGAGGGGCAAUCGGAAUGCCUAGUGUAGCGGUGGAAUGCGUAGAUAUUAGGAGGAACACCAGUGGCGAAGGCGGAUUGCUAGACUGUAACUGACACUGAGGCACGAAAGCGUGGGGAGCAAACAGGAUUAGAUACCCCUGUAGUC
rnacentral:rRNA from 1 species